rnacentral:lncRNA from 10 species
GAGCCCUGCCUGCGCCCGCCCCCGAAGCGGCGCGGGACGCCUGGCGCCGUCCGCGAUCCGCAGGGCUGCCCGCUUAGGCUUAGGCCCGGCCCGCUGGCAAAGCCGAGCCGCAGCAUUUUAUUUCGUUCGUGGUUUCCGCACAGGCUGGAGUUUCGUGGGUUGGGUCGUACUUGGGACCUCGGCGAAGAGGACCCGUUUAUUUUUUUUUCUUUCCAAAAUGGCAGCCUCCAGUCGCGCACAAGUGUUAUCUCUGUACCGGGCGAUGCUGAGAGAGAGCAAGCGUUUCAGCGCCUACAAUUACAGAACAUAUGCUGUCAGGAGGAUAAGAGAUGCCUUCAGAGAAAAUAAAAAUGUAAAGGAUCCUGUAGAAAUUCAAACCCUAGUGAAUAAAGCCAAGAGAGACCUUGGAGUAAUUCGUCGACAGAUAACGGAAUCUCGCUCUGUCACCCAGGCUGGAGUGCAGUGGCGUGAUCUCAGCAACCUCCACCUCCCAGGUUCAAACCAUUCUUCUGCCUCAGCCUCCUGAGUAGCUGGGAUUAUUGGCGCGUGCCACCAUGGCCUAUAUAUUUUUAGUAGAGACAGGGUUUCACCGUGUUGGUCAGGCUGGUCUCAGACUUGUGACCUCGUGAUCCACCCGUCUCGACCUCCCGAAGUGCUGGAAUUAUAGGCGUAAGCCACUGCACCCAUCCUCACCUGCACUCUUACUGGCCCCUUAACUGGGUCCCCUCGCCACAACUCUCCACCUCUUCUUCGCCUUGACCUGAAGACAAGGUCCACAUUGGCCAACUGUAUUCAACUGACAAGCUGAUCAUUGAGAAUCGAGACAUGCCCAGGACCUAGCAAGCCGGGGACCAGCCACCAGUGGCGGCCAGGGACCACCUUCAGCAUCCACUCUCUGUUUGAGAUGGGGGCUCCCAAAACCAGCUUACAAUAGCCUUUUGCGCUGCCUGUCCUGUGGGAGCUGAUAAACCAAGUCACAUUUGCAUUCUGUUGCAGGCUUAGUGAAAAAGGACUGCUGUCUUUCCUUGGUUCAAGUGUUAGAAUGGAGAGCUGGAGUUCGUUCAGAAUAGUGCUGUGUGUUACCACGUCUCCCCUGCACCCCAUUCCUACCUUGUAGCUCAUGACCAUUGUGUAUAGCAUUUCUACACUUUGUUUCUUGGUCCUUGGCAAUAAAAAGAAUGAUCUCCCUGAGCCUUUGACCCCAGAUAAACCCCUCCCAAUUAAUGCAUUUUCAUUUCCUACUGAUACAAGGCCUGGAGAGGGCUGUUGGGGGCCCUCAGGGAGGGUUCAACUCUGAGACGAGAACUGCCUUGGUGAAGGCAAGUUCAAGCACCACUUGAGACUGGGGGCAGCAUGGAGUAGGGCAGGGCUACGGGGAUACACGGUGCACCCUGCAACUUAUACCUGAGCCCAGUACAACAAAGGUGACGGGUGUGUAGGUACACACCCAGAGAUGGAGCACUGCAGAUCAGCAACCUCAGCCCCACCUGGGAAUUUGCUGGAAAUGCAGGCUCAAGCCCCUCCCCACACCUGGUGAAUGAGAGAGCCCCAGCCUGACCCAAGCCCAGGGCGACUCCCAUACCCUGAAGCCUGGGGCAUGCUGGGCAGCACCGGUGCCCAAAUCUGGCUGGUGGACAGAAGCACCUGGAGAGUUGGAGAGCUUUUUAAAAAGACAUCUCUCAGCACUUCCCUCUCUGCAGAUUCUGACUCAGUAAGUGAGGGGUGAGGCACAGUCAUUUUUCUCUAUUCUGAAGCUCUCCCACUGUUUUCAAUGUUUAACCAACUGGGGACCCCUGCUCUUUAAGUAUAUUACAGGUAAUAAAGAUAUUGUUUGUAUGCUUUUA